GCGAUCAUACCAGAACUAAUGCACCGGAUCCCAUCAGAACUCCGCAGU
rnacentral:rRNA from 1 species